GACGAACGCUGGCGGCGUGCUUAACACAUGCAAGUCGAACGGAAAGGCCCUGCUUUUGUGGGGUGCUCGAGUGGCGAACGGGUGAGUAACACGUGAGUAACCUGCCCUUGACUUUGGGAUAACUUCAGGAAACUGGGGCUAAUACCGGAUAGGAGCUCCUGCUGCAUGGGGGGGGUUGGAAAGUUUCGGCGGUUGGGGAUGGACUCGCGGCUUAUCAGCUUGUUGGUGGGGUAGUGGCUUACCAAGGCUUUGACGGGUAGCCGGCCUGAGAGGGUGACCGGCGACCUGGGGACUGCGAUACGGCGCAGUCGCCUACGGUAGGCAGCGGGGGGGAGUAUUGCACAAUGGGCGCAAGCCUGAGGCAGCAGCGCCGCGUGCGGGAUGACGGCCUUCGGGUGGUAAACCGCUUUCGGCUGUGACGAAGCUGUAGUGACGGUAAUGGGUAAAGAAGCACCGGCUAACUACGUG
rnacentral:rRNA from 1 species